UACGUAGGGUGCGAGCGUUAAUCGGAAUUACUGGGCGUAAAGCGUGCGCAGGCGGUUUUGUAAGCCAGAUGUGAAAUCCCCGGGCUUAACCUGGGAACUGCAUUUGUGACUGCAUGGCUAGAGUGCGGCAGAGGGGGAUGGAAUUCCGCGUGUAGCAGUGAAAUGCGUAGAUAUGCGGAGGAACACCGAUGGCGAAGGCAAUCCCCUGGGCCUGCACUGACGCUCAUGCACGAAAGCGUGGGGAGCAAACAGG
rnacentral:rRNA from 1 species